UCGUGGAACUGACCAGGCGCGGGCUGCGUGGCACGGCGUGGCUCUUGCGUGGGUCCUCGCUCGGGGGACGCGGUGUCAGGCGGUGCGAGUCGAGCUCUGCUGUCUCGAGGCUGACGCGCGCCUAUUUAUCGCCGGGUGACACCCACUCGCGGCCUAGGGGGCGCUGUGCGCUGAGCGGUAUCCGGGUUCUCCGUACGGCCCGCGGGCGCGCAGGAAUUCCAGCGCUCGGAAACUUGGCUGGGUUUUGAGAAUCGGUAUUCAGCUCUUUCCUCAGAAGACCUGAUCCCAGAAGUCUGUGACAGUGUCCCGAGGGCCACCGGCUCGAGAGCCGAGAGACUCCCUUACCCAGCGGUGCCAUGAGCAGCGAGGCGCCCGAGAGACAGCCCAUCACAGGACACUGGUCCCAUCGCUCGGACCUCCGGAACCGCCGCCUGUCAGUCACCAAACCGACCUGCAGUGGGACUGUUCUGGCGAGGAAUCUGGCGUCGGUCCGGGGGCUGGGGGCGGCCGAGACACAGUGGAUCCAGUCCCACCUGUAAAUGAGCUGCACAGCUGACAGAAGAAAACCUCCGGGUCUCCUGGGACUCGGACCUGAACUGGAACGGUUACAAACGAGAGGAGGCCCGUCCAGUCCAUUUGGAAGUUAGUAGUUUAACUGAUCCAAGGAUCUCAUCCAGCUGUUUCUCGAAAGAAACCGUUGUUGCUGGGUAGAUAGUUCCACACUCCAACAACCCUUUGUGUAAAGCAGUGCCUCCUGUUCUUGGUUGUAAAUAAACUGCCAUUUCCACUUC